AGCAAGCAUCUCAACCUCAGGGGCAGAAGAUUCUGCCAUCCAUGAUGCAGGGAUGCGGCAGACCGACCGACUACACGGUCACGUGAAGCUAGUGGUGGGUCACGUGACCAUGCUCUCUCUUGCGCAAGCACAGAGGUGUGUCGUACUGAAAGCGGACAGGAAGGAUAUACACCUGACGACUGACAGACGGCCGUGGGAGGAGUGGUAGAAUAUUGGGCUGAGUGGGUGGGUGUCUCUCCAUGCUGCACUAACCUGAAAACGGAUCUCUCAGGCGAGCGCAAUUACAGCAUUUGUUGGUAGAGGGCACAACCCCUCAGCCUAUUUGCCAGCGUCUUAGCCGGGGUCAGUCUUUUGCCCAGGAACUCAAGAGGCAGGAAGUCAUCCUGCAGGAGGCAAACGUGGAGAGAAGCAGCGGUUGCUGUUGGAGGAGAGCUCCCUCAGCCUAGAAUUCCUGUUGGGAGUACCACAUUUAUAUUUGGGGAACUUCAUACUGUGGCCUCACUGGAUACCGCCUAAGUCCCAUGUGCAACCUGAAGCAGAUACUUACCAGUUAACACCUGUGGAUUUUUCAAUCUCAGGAAAGAGGCAGGGGUGUGACUCUUCUCCAGCUAAAGAACUGUUCUUUGGUGUAAAGGAUAGAAUUUCCUGAGGACCUCUGCUGUGUGGGCUGGCUGAAAUAGGUGGCAGUGAGGUCCAUCUCCAGUGGUGGCUGUAGUGGCCUUGUAGUGGCAGAUCAUCACCUUCAACAAGUCUGCACUCAGGAACUAUCAUCUUCGCUCAGACUAAGUGCCUCUGUCUUUUCUCUGUAUUGUUGACAGAGGUUCUGUGUUUGGAAAGGGGACUGUGUGACUGCUGAGCUGACGACUGACUUGCCACAAAGUUUAUGUCUGAUCCAGUGAAAGAGUGUUAAGACAUUGACCUGGGACACAUUGAAAACCAAGGCCAAGACUGUAUAGAGCUAUC
rnacentral:lncRNA from 1 species